rnacentral:rRNA from 1 species
GACGGAGGGGGCAAGCGUUGUCCGGAAUCACUGGGCGUAAAGCGCGUGUAGGCGGUCGUGUGCGUCGGUGCUGAAAGCGCCCGGCUUAACCGGGCGAGGCGUGCCGAUACGAUGCGACUGGAGGCAGGCAGAGGGCGGCGGAAUUCCGGGUGUAGCGGUGAAAUGCGUAGAGCUCCGGAGGAACGCCGGUGGGGGAGCCGGCCGCCUGGGCCUGACCUGACGCUGAGACGCGACAGCGUCGGGAGCAAACCGC